GCCCAGCCAUCUCCGCCCACUCCCCGCACUCCCACCGUAUCCUCCCCUGCGUAGGGUUUAACCACUCGCAGCAGCCGCCGUGACUCGAGAAUCAUGUCAGCGCCGCCGUCGCUCAAGACCCCGGCAACCGCCGUAGCGGUCUCUCGGCGCUCGGUCGCCACCCCGAGAGCCACCGGGCUUCGCGGCGCCUGUGCUCCCCCGACUCGGCGCCUCCGGUGCUCAGCCUCCGCCGCCGUGGCCGGGGCUUCCACCGAGAUGGCUGAUGCUCCGCUGGACUGGGCAGAGAGGUCGCUGGAGGAGUUACACAGCUUGCCGGACCACGACACGUUCUGCUUGAUGGCGCUCUCGCCGCUGGACGGGCGGUACGAUCGCUUCGUCAAGGAGCUGAUGCCCUUUUUCAGCGAGUUCGGCCUAAUCAGAUACCGCGUUCUCAUCGAGAUCAAGUGGCUACUGAAACUUUCUCAAAUUCCUGAGAUCACUGAGGUGCCUCAGUUCAGCAAGGAAGCUCAGUCCUUGUUGAAUGCCAUUAUUGAGAAUUUUUGCAUAGAUGAUGCAAAAGAAGUUAAGAAAAUCGAGAAAGUAACCAACCAUGACGUGAAAGCCGUGGAGUACUUUCUGAAGCAAAGGUGCAGCUCAAAUCCAGAGAUUGCAAAGGUGUCGGAAUUCUUCCAUUUUGGUUGUACCUCUGAAGAUAUUAACAAUCUAUCACAUGCAUUGGCUUUGAAAGAGGGGGUAAAUAAAGUUAUGUUCCCUGCCAUGAUCGAUCUAUGCAGAGCAAUGUGUUCCUUGGCAACACAAAAUUCAGGCUACCCUAUGUUGGCUCGAACUCAUGGGCAGCCAGCAUCACCAACAACUGUGGGAAAGGAGAUGGCAAACUUCGCGGCCAGAUUAUCUGAUAUAGGAAAGAGUUUCUCAGAGGUGAAGAUACUAGGGAAAUUUGCUGGCGCUGUUGGCAAUUACAAUGCUGAUGUGGUUGCAUAUCCUGAAGUUGACUGGCCUAAGGUGGCAGAAGAGUUUGUUAGAUCCUUGGGUUUGCAGUUUAAUCCCUAUGUUACUCAGAUUGAGCCUCAUGACUACAUAUCAAAGCUCUUCAAUCUAUUCACCCAGUUUAACAAUGUGUUGACUGAUUUUGAUAGAGACAUGUGGUCCUAUAUAUCAUUAGGCUACUUCAAGCAGAUACCAAAGGCUGGUGAAGUUGGUUCUUCCACUAUGCCUCAUAAAAUCAACCCCAUUGAUUUUGAAAAUAGUGAUGGCAAUUUAUGUCAAGCGAAUUCUAUAUUGUCUGGUAUAAGCAUGAAACUACCAAUAUCCCGGUUGCAGCGUGACCUAACAGACUCGACUGUUUUGAGAAACCUGGGUAUGGGAUUAGGUCAUUCUCUAUUGGCUUACAAAGCUACCAUGCGUGGAAUCAGCAAGGUUCAGGCUAGAACUACUAUGCUGAAUUGGUGCCUUUACAGUUGAAUGAAUCACGUUUAGCUGAAGACCUGGAGCAAACUUGGGAGGUCCUUGCUGAGCCAAUACAGACAGUGAUGCGAAGAUAUGGGAUACCUGAACCUUAUGAGAAGCUGAAGGAACUGACGAGAGGCCAAGCUGUCACCAAGGACAGCAUGCAGCAAUUCAUUAAUGGUCUAGACAUACCGGAGGAGGUUCGAUCGAAGCUUUCGAAGCUAACCCCGCAUUCCUACACUGGGCUAGCGGAGGAUUUGGCCAGAGACAUCGAGAAGUGGGUUGAUCUUGAAUCUGGAUUUCAGAUCAAGUGAGCUCCCAUUUGACAACAAUGGAGAAAAUAAAUAACAGACGGGAACCCUAGGAAACGAGAAUCCAAUGCUGGAACCAAGGUGCCGUUUGGUUCACAAAUUUGUAACGUAAUGGGUAACGAAUAACGUUAAAUCAUGUUUGUUUUAGUCCAACUGUAAUCGAAUACUACACUAAAAAUUGAUACCAGCCUAUUCAAAUUUGUUACCGCCAGUAA